ACCAGACUCCUACGGGAGGCAGCAGUGGGGAAUAUUGCACAAUGGGGGAAACCCUGAUGCAGCGACGCCGCGUGAGUGAAGAAGUAUUUCGGUAUGUAAAGCUCUAUCAGCAGGGAAGAAAAUGACGGUACCUGACUAAGAAGCCCCGGCUAACUACGUGCCAGCAGCCGCGGUAAUACGUAGGGGGCAAGCGCUGUCCGGAAUCAUUGGGCGUAAAGCGUUCGUAGGCGGUAAAGUAAGUCAGAUGUUAAAGCCCGGGGCUCAACUCCGGUUCGGCAUUUGAUACUACUUGACUAGAAUGCGGUAGAGGUAAAGGGAAUUCCUGGUGUAGCGGUGAAAUGCUUAGAUAUCAGGAGGAACAUCGGUGGCGUAAGCGCUUUACUGGGCCGUAAUUGACGCUGAGGAACGAAAGCCAGGGUAGCAAAUGGGAUUAGAUACCCCAGUA
rnacentral:rRNA from 1 species